rnacentral:rRNA from 1 species
UUGAGCUUGAUCCCUGGCUCAGGACGAACGCUGGCGGCGUGCCUAAUACAUGCAAGUCGAGCGGAAUGAUGAAGAAGCUUGCUUCUUCUGAUUUUAGCGGCGGACGGGUGAGUAACACGUGGGCAACCUACCUUGUAGAUUGGGAUAACUCCGGGAAACCGGGGCUAAUACCGAAUAAUCCAUUUUGCUUCAUGGCAAGAUGUUGAAAGGCGGCUUCGGCUGUCACUACGAGAUGGGCCCGCGGCGUAUUAGCUAGUUGGUAGGGUAAUGGCCUACCAAGGCGACGAUACGUAGCCGACCUGAGAGGGUGAUCGGCCACACUGGGACUGAGACACGGCCCAGACUCCUACGGGAGGCAGCAGUAGGGAAUCUUCCACAAUGGACGAAAGUCUGAUGGAGCAACGCCGCGUGAGUGAAGAAGGUUUUCGGAUCGUAAAACUCUGUUGUAAGGGAAGAACACGUACGAGAGUAACUGCUCGUACCUUGACGGUACCUUAUUAGAAAGCCACGGCUAACUA